rnacentral:rRNA from 1 species
AACGAACGCUGGCGGCAUGCCUAACACAUGCAAGUCGAACGAGACCUUCGGGUCUAGUGGCGCACGGGUGCGUAACGCGUGGGAAUCUGCCCUUGGGUUCGGAAUAACAGUAGGAAACGACUGCUAAUACCGGAUGAUGACGUAAGUCCAAAGAUUUAUCGCCCAAGGAUGAGCCCGCGUAGGAUUAGCUAGUUGGUGAGGUAAAGGCUCACCAAGGCGACGAUCCUUAGCUGGUCUGAGAGGAUGAUCAGCCACACUGGGACUGAGACACGGCCCAGACUCCUGCGGGAGGCAGCAGUGGGGAAUAUUGGACAAGGGGCGAAAGCCUGAUCCAGCGAUGCCGCGUGAGUGAUGAAGGCCUUAGGGUUGUAAAUCUCUUUUACCCGGGAUGAUAAUGACAGUACCGGGAGAAUAAGCUCCGGCUAACUCCGUG